rnacentral:rRNA from 1 species
UGACGCAGAUGCUAGUCUCGAAGAUUUAGCCAUGCAUGCUUGUGAUAUGAACGGCGAACGGCUCAGUAAUGCUGCGAUGAUCUGCUCUCUGCGGGGGAUAACCACGGGAAACAGUGGCUAAGGCGGAGAAUGAGACGCAGCCCUAUCAGCUUGUUGGUAGUGUAACGGACUACCAAGGCGAUGACGGGUAACGGGGGACGAGGGUCUGAUACCGGAGAGGGCGCCUGAGAGAUGGCGCCCACGUCCAUGGACGGCAGCAGGCGCGGAACUUGCCCACUCUUUUUGGGAGGCAGUUAAGAGACGACGGCAGGACAAACGAGUGCCGGGAGAUUGGAGGGCAAGGCUGGUGCCAGCAGCCGCGGUAACACCAGCUCCAAGAGUGUCUGUGGUGGAUGCUGCAGUUAAAGAGUCCGUAGUCGAUACAGCUGGGAUGGUCUCUGAUUGAGGGGGAACGGCCUGCUGGAGAUGGCGGAGCGGACGGAGUGCGUAGAAUGCAUGGGCGAGCGAUGGAAUGCCAGGACCCCAUGUGGACUAGCGGAGGCGAAGGCGACGCACGAGUACGGAUCUGCGGAUCAAGGACGAAGGCCGGAGGAGCGAAAGCGAU